rnacentral:rRNA from 1 species
AUGAAUGUGCUGUUUUCAUGUCUUUCGAUCUUGUGUAGAAUUUAUUUCCGUGUUCACGGAACAGAGGACCCGCUCGGAGUGUGGGAAAUCUUAGAGAAAAUGAUCUCGGUUUUCUACAUAAAGAAAAGCCAGAAUCUUGUGGGACGGAAAAGUAUCUUGGGAAAAUUUGUGGAUGUUCACAACAUAUGCCUAGAACCCCUAAAAAAAUAUGAAAACAGUUUUCAAAAGUUUCGUUUUUUUUUGUUUUGGGUCUUCACAACAUGUGUUUACAAUUUCUUAAAACUUCAGAAGAGAAACUUGAACUUUUUAGGAAUUGUCGACACAUAUGUUGUGAACAUUCACAUUGUUCCCUGA